GACGAACGCUGGCGGCGUGCUUAACACAUGCAAGUCGAACGGAAAGGCCCUGCUUUUGUGGGGUGCUCGAGUGGCGAACGGGUGAGUAACACGUGAGUAACCUGCCCUUGACUUUGGGAUAACUUCAGGAAACUGGGGCUAAUACCGGAUAGGAGCUCCUGCUGCAUGGUGGGGGUUGGAAAGUUUCGGCGGUUGGGGAUGGACUCGCGGCUUAUCAGCUUGUUGGUGGGGUAGUGGCUUACCAAGGCUUUGACGGGUAGCCGGCCUGAGAGGGUGACCGGCCACAUUGGACUGAGAUACGGCCCAGACUCCUACGCGAGGCAGCAGUGGGGAAUAUUGCACAAUGGGCGGAAGCCUGAUGCAGCAACGCCGCGUGCGGGAUGACGGCCUUCGGGUUGUAAACCGCUUUCGCCUGUGACGAAGCGUGAGUGACGGUAAUGGGUAAAGAAGCACCGGCUAACUACGUG
rnacentral:rRNA from 1 species